rnacentral:rRNA from 1 species
CCUACGGGGGGCAGCAGUGAGGAAUAUUGGUCAAUGGGCUUACGCCUGAACCAGCCAAGUCGCGUGAGGGAAGACUGCCCUAUGGGUUGUAAACCUCUUUUGUCAGGGAGCAACGCCGGCUACGUGUAGCCGGACUGAGAGUACCUGAAGAAAAAGCAUCGGCUAACUCCGAGCCAGCAGCCGCGGUAAUACGGAGGAUGCGAGCGUUAUCCGGUUUUAUUGGGUUUAAAGGGUGCGUAGGCGGAAUGCCAAGUCAGCGGUAAAAGCGCGGGGCUCAACCUCGCGCCGCCGUUGAAACUGGCGUUCUUGAGUGGGCGAGAAGUAUGCGGAAUGCGUGGUGUAGCGGUGAAAUGCAUAGAUAUCACGCAGAACUCCGAUUGCGAAGGCAGCAUACCGGCGCCCAACUGACGCUGAAGCACGAAAGCGUGGGUAUCGAACAGGAUUAGAUACCCCAGUAGUC